rnacentral:rRNA from 1 species
GGGACACGUGGUAUCCUGUCUGAAUAUGGGGGGACCAUCCUCCAAGGCUAAAUACUCCUGACUGACCGAUAGUGAACCAGUACCGUGAGGGAAAGGCGAAAAGAACCCCGGCGAGGGGAGUGAAAAAGAACCUGAAACCGUGUACGUACAAGCAGUGGGAGCCUCUUAAUGGGGUGACUGCGUACCUUUUGUAUAAUGGGUCAGCGACUUAUAUUCUGUAGCAAGGUUAACCGAAUAGGGGAGCCGAAGGGAAACCGAGUCUUAACUGGGCGUUAAGUUGCAGGGUAUAGACCCGAAACCCGGUGAUCUAGCCAUGGGCAGGUUGAAGGUUGGGUAACACUAACUGGAGGACCGAACCGACUAAUGUUGAAAAAUUAGCGGAUGACUUGUGGCUGGGGGUGAAAGGCCAAUCAAACCGGGAGAUAGCUGGUUCUCCCCGAAAGCUAUUUAGGUAGCGCCUCGUGAAUUCAUCUCCGGGGGUAGAGCACUGUUUCGGCAAGGGGGUCAUCCCGACUUACCAACCCGAUGCAAACUGCGAAUACCGGAGAAUGUUAUCACGGGAGACACACGGCGGGUGCUAACGUCCGUCGUGAAGAGGGAAACAACCCAGACCGCCAGCUAAGGUCCCAAAGUCAUGGUUAAGUGGGAAACGAUGUGGGAAGGCCCAGACAGCCAGGAUGUUGGCUUAGAAGCAGCCAUCAUUUAAAGAAAGCGUAAUAGCUCACUGGUCGAGUCGGCCUGCGCGGAAGAUGUAACGGGGCUAAACCAUGCACCGAAGCUGCGGCAGCGACACUAUGUGUUGUUGGGUAGGGGAGCGUUCUGUAAGCCUGUGAAGGUGGCCUGUGAGGGUUGCUGGAGGUAUCAGAAGUGCGAAUGCUGACAUAAGUAACGAUAAAGCGGGUGAAAAGCCCGCUCGCCGGAAGACCAAGGGUUCCUGUCCAACGUUAAUCGGGGCAGGGUGAGUCGACCCCUAAGGCGAGGCCGAAAGGCGUAGUCGAUGGGAAACAGGUUAAUAUUCCUGUACUUGGUGUUACUGCGAAGGGGGGACGGAGAAGGCUAUGUUGGCCGGGCGACGGUUGUCCCGGUUUAAGCGUGUAGGCUGGUUUUCCAGGCAAAUCCGGAAAAUCAAGGCUGAGGCGUGAUGAC